rnacentral:lncRNA from 1 species
GCCUCUCUAACAGCCAAUGGCGACCAAGUCCUAGCAGUCCUAUCUCUAAAGGUCCUCGCUAUCUGUCAUCUCCCCUUCAUUUUCCCAGUUACUCCAGUUACUGUCCUACUGAAGGACCCCCAUCCCAUCUGGGCUACUAUAACCACAUGGACCAUCCCUUGCUUCAAUCAUAGAAUUCUUUCUUCAGAUCAAAGUAUAUUCAGACACUCGAUACAGUAACAAAAGCAAGCUAUCCUGGAAGGAAGAAGGAAUCAGGAGGCAGAGCACAUGGUUAAAGCAUGAGAUGUGAAACCAGGAAGAACCAGGUCUGAACCUUAGCUCCACCAGUGGUAGCUUCAAACCUUGGUCCUUUCUGAGCCUGCUUCUUCAACCGUAAGGUGUGACUACACUGAGCAGUAACAGCAAAACCUGAAAGAGAAUGGAUACAGGUGUUCAUUUCAGAUGGUACAAGUUUAACAAAGUACAAGAGCAACUUAAGGGAACGCUACACUUCCUUAGAAAUUAAGAGUGUGUGCUACACUGCUUUACCAGAGCAAGGCCAAAAGCAGCUUCAAUUAUGGUACAACUGUGUGAAGACACAAUGCAAAACCACUCAAGAAUGCUCACUCAAAUGGAUUUUUACCAUGGAACUCGGAAACGGGACCCAGAAAGUUGUUUUCUCAAGUGGAUGGAACAACACAAGCAAUCAGUAUCCUGAAACAGGCCCUG